rnacentral:rRNA from 1 species
CUCGUAGGCGGUUCGUCGCGUCCGGUGUGAAAAGUCCAUCGCCUAACGGUGGAUCUGCGCCGGGUACGGGCGGGCUGGAGUGCGGUAGGGGAGACUGGAAUUCCCGGUGUAACGGUGGAAUGUGUAGAUAUCGGGAAGAACACCAAUGGCGAAGGCAGGUCUCUGGGCCGUUACUGACGCUGAGGAGCGAAAGCGUGGGGAGCGAACA